UGGAACCAGGAAAGGCACCCAGGCAGUGCGGGCUCUGCCUUUGCAGGCUGCUGCUCCACACAAGCCUUCCCAGGCUUCUGCAGCAGAACUGGUCCACCCGUGCAACACCCCUCUGCCUGAAAGCAAGCACAAGCCUGCAGUGGCUGUGCUGGCCAGGGAUUUAGGGUCUCAUUCUCAACCCACCAGCAUCUCACACUCCGUGCUGAAUGCAGUGAGUUGUUCCCAAGCUCACUUAUGCAAUAAGCUCCUGUUCACAUACAAACCUCAGCAUUUCUCUGCUUCUGUUCCCUGGUGAUCUCGGAGCCAAACCAGCUGGAGGAAUCCUCCUCUGGGCCCUUCGGACUUCUUGGCUUCAUACAGGAGGCCAAGUAAAUGGUAACAUGGAGCACGCCUAACACGAAGGAGGAUGAAAUGCUGCAGAAUUCAAGGCUACCCUC